GCAGGCAAAGAUUGUAUAAUCUGUAUGAAGAAAAAUGUUUUAAUAAUAGUAUAGCAUUUAAAGAAUACGUCAAAAACUAUUCUAAAACUUUUAGAAAAGUUUGCAAAUCUGCUAAAGCCCUAUACAUA